CCUACGGGUGGCAGCAGUGGGGAAUAUUGCGCAAUGGGCGAAAGCCUGACGCAGCGACGCCGCGUGAGGGAUGAAGGUCUUCGGAUCGUAAACCUCUGUCAGCAGGGAAGAACGGUCACUGUGCUAAUCAGCAGUGAAUUGACGGUACCUGCAAAGGAAGCACCGGCUAACGCCGUGCCAGCAGCCGCGGUAAUACGGAGGGUGCGAGCGUUAAUCGGAAUUACUGGGCGUAAAGCGCUCGUAGGCGGUAUGUCAAGUCAAGGGUGAAAUCCCCGCGCUCAACGUGGGAACUGCCUUUGAAACUGGCAAACUGGAGUGUGUGAGAGGAUAGUGGAAUGCCAGGUGUAGGAGUGAAAUGCGUAGAUAUCUGGAGGAACAUCAGUGGCGAAGGCGACUAUCUGGCACAUAACUGACGCUGAGGAGCGAAAGCGUGGGUAGCAAACAGGAUUAGAUACCCUUGUAGUC
rnacentral:rRNA from 1 species